UACGUAGGGUGCGAGCGUUGUCCGGAAUUAUUGGGCGUAAAGAGCUCGUAGGCGGUUUGUCGCGUCGACUGUGAAAACCCGAGGCUUAACCUCGGGCCUGCAGUCGAUACGGGCAGACUAGAGUUCGGUAGGGGAGACUGGAAUUCCUGGUGUAGCGGUGAAAUGCGCAGAUAUCAGGAGGAACACCGGUGGCGAAGGCGGGUCUCUGGGCCGAUACUGACGCUGAGGAGCGAAAGCCAGGGGAGCAAACGGG
rnacentral:rRNA from 1 species